AAGGGCAAAGCCGAAAACCUUAAUAGAGUACGGA
rnacentral:ncRNA from 1 species